GGUCUUGGAUUUCUGUCUGCCUCAAACGAGGUAUGUAGUAGGGAUCGGAGACCAUCCUCGAGGAAAACAUGUCUGUCAUUUAGUUAAUGGGCAUGGGAUCCUCGUCAUUUACUGUGAGCAAAAUAGGGUGUUCAAAGCCGGCUUAUGACUAGCAUGAAAUAAUAAGAUAGGACCUUGGUCUAUUUUGUUGGUUUGUACUCCAAGGUA
rnacentral:rRNA from 1 species